rnacentral:snRNA from 1 species
GCAUGUGAGGGUGAUCUGGCUGUGACAUCUGUCACUCCACUGAUCGCCAGAGUUGAUCUGGCUGAUCUGGCUGGCUAGGCAGGUGUCUCCUUCCUCCCUCACCACUCUAUGUGUGUCCCUUCCAAAGCAAAGCUGCGCACUCAGUCAAGGAGGACAGCCUUCCCUGAGUAAAGACAGACCAGUGCUGCAUGUUAAUGUACUCCCCUGCUAGAACCUCCAAACAAGUGCUCUCACGAAUAAAGGAUCAAACCAUCAGCAUCUAAACUAGAAUCUGGCCCUGAGUUUUUCUGAAUUA